rnacentral:rRNA from 1 species
CGGGGUGAGUAAUGUCUGGGAAACUGCCUGAUGGAGGGGGAUAACUGCUGGAAACGGUAGCUAAUACCGCAUAACGUCGCAAGACCAAAGAGGGGGACCUUCGGGCCUCCUGCCAUCGGAUGUGCCCAGAUGGGAUUAGCUAGUAGGUGGGGUAACGGCUCACCUAGGCGACGAUCCCUAGCUGGUCUGAGAGGAUGGCCAGCCACACUGGAACUGAGACACGGUCCAG